ACAAACUUGGUCAUUUAGAGGAAGUAAAAGUCGUAACAAGGUUUCCGUAGGUGAACCUGCGGAAGGAUCAUUACAGUAUUCUUUUCAGACUGAAUUACAAUACUUGCGCUGCUGAAAUACGCGUGCGCGGUUUUGUUUUUCGCUAUAGUUUGAAAAACCUCUUCACACUUUGUUUUCUUAUUAGAGACAAAAUUGCUUUGGUUGUUUCUGUGUAAAAGCAGAGAUGGCCAGAGAUUAACUAAACUCUGUUUGUUUCUUCGGAAGCUAAACGUGAAUUUUAAAACUUUAGUCAUUUUAAUAAGCUGUAAAAAGCUAUAAAAAAUUAAAACUUUCAACAACGGAUCUCUUGGCUCUCGCAUCGAUGAAGAACGCAGC
rnacentral:misc_RNA from 1 species